AAUAAAUUGGACCGUCGGUCUACCGAGCAAUAUCACCCGCUCGGUGGAAGAUCUUCCCUUUGUCGU
rnacentral:pre_miRNA from 1 species